GGACUCCACUGAUGCUCAGAGUGAAAUCACUUCCAUAGUUUGAUCCACUGCCACUGAAUCUAGAUGGAGUUCCUGACUGGAGGCUGUUUAUGUAAUAAAUGAGGAGUUUAGGAGCUUCUCCAGGUUUCUGCUGAUACCAGUAUAAGUCGUUGGUGUAUAUUCCUACAUCUAUGUUACACUCUAUUGUAGCUGUUUGACCGAGCUGGACAGUUUUAACUUUAGGUUGAGUCAGAGUGAUUU